AGAAUGUGCCUGUCUUUGAAUUUGUCCAUGCAGUCUGAAAAAUGUUUUCUUUUCUUCUUUGGUGUAAAAGAAUUUUCAUUUCGAGGGGUCCCAAUUUUGUAUUUAUAUAUUCUUUCUUUUGCAUUCUUCCCUUGUUUGCAAGCUCGUCAGCCAUCUCAUUCCCAUCUAUUCCGCAAUGUGAUGGUAUCCAAAUAAUGGUAACCCUUUUUCCAUUAGUUAAUAAUUGUUCAUGUAAUUCAAUUAUGUCCUGGAGAAUGUCAAAUCUAGCUUGAUUUCUGUGAGGUUCCCCAAGUGAUUGGGCUGCCGAGAGAGAUUCAUUGAGUAUAAGAAUAUCCCUGUCCAAUUCUGUACUGCACGCCUGUUUCACUGCUCCCUGUAUCGCUAUCAGUUCAUGUCAGCAGUAAGAAUAGAAGUAUAAUCUGUUAUUCGUGAAUACGACCGGAUAUUUUGUUUUUUUAACAUAGAAUCCUGAUCCAGUACGUUCAUCCUCCUUGGAUCCAUCAGUGAAAUACUGGAUAUGAUUACUAUAUAAGUCAUGAAUAUGUUUUAAUGUAAUAUUUUUCAUUGAUGCGUAUUUGUCUUCUCUCUUUUUUGUUUUGUUCUUUAGUGUUAGGUCCACAUUAAUGUCACAAUAUUUCCAUAUAAGAGUAUUUCUUGUUUCAGUGUGGCGGACAUUUUUUUUUUUUACUUUCAAAGUUCCCAUAAUUGCUUUUGUGCUUUCUACAAUGCCGUUUUUAGUUUUGAGAUGUUUGUUUGCGAUCUUGAUUAUUCUGUCUCUGUAGACAUUCUUAGCAUUGUUUUCUUUAUUAUAAUUUACUCUAUGCCAUAGUUUGACCUUGCUUUCCUGCCUUCUUAUCCAAAGAGGGGGGGCUUUUGGUCAGGACUGAUAAAGCCAUGCGGCUUGCAGCGUGUGUAGAAUUGGUGAUUAUUCUCAAUGCUGAAUUUUGAAUUAUGUCCAGUUUCUUUAGUUGACCUUUUGCUCCCUGGUCGUAUAUUUCCUCUCCAUAGGUAAGUAUUGGUAGUAUCAGAUUUGUGUAUAUCAAUGGUUUUCUUUUUGAAUUUAUCCCCCAGGUUUUUCCUGCUGUGUAUUUCAAAAUAUUAAGUGUGUUGAUUCCUUUCUCAUAUUUUUCAGCUAUAUGCUCCUUAAACUGGAAGAAUUUGUCAAACGUAACUCCUAGGUAUUUGACUGAUUUUAUAGUAUGGACAUUUGUUCCUUUUAUCAGCAGAUCUGGGCAUAGUUUUUGGUUAAAGGAGAUUGCUUGGGUUUUGUUCAUAUUUAAUUUAAAUCCAAGAUUUGUAAGAGUCUCGAUUAGGACAUUUGUUGGAUUUUCUAUAGGUUUUUAAAGGAAAGUUGUAUUCUUUUUUGCUCUCUUUCUUGGGGCAUCUUUGGCUUUAAUCCACAAUACAGUGUCAUCUGCAAACUAUCCUAUGCUUAUCUUGGGAUAUUUAUCUUCUAUAACUCCUACUGAAUUUAUCAAUAUAUUAAAAAGUGUGGGAGAGAUUACUACCCCCUGGGGUGUUCCGUGUUCCUGACUUUUCAUUUCAGAUAAUACGCCUCCAACUUUAACCCGAAAUGUCCUUUCAUAAAGAAAGUCCUUAAUAUAAUUAUACAUUUUGCCAGUUAUCUCCAUUUUCAUAAGUUGUUCAAGGGUUCCUUGUUUCCAUAGUAGAUCGUAAGCCUUUUCUAGAUCCAAGAAAACUGCUGCUGCUACUUACCCAAAAGUUCUAUAUUUAUCCAGUUCUUGAAUUAAUUUCAAUUACUGAUCGUGUGUUUGCCUUUUUCUUCUGAAUCCCGACUGGUUGGCACAGAAUAAAUUCUUUUUUUUCAUUGAUCUGGAUGAGUCGAUUAUUUAUUAUUGUUUCCAAAACCUUUCCAAGAUGACUGGUGAGAGAGAUCGGUCUAUAGGAAGACGGUUCGCUUUUUAUCUUUAUUGGUAUUAUUGUGGCGUGCUUAAACUCCAGUGGAAUUUUGUCUUUAUUCCAGAUAUUGUUGAAGAAGUCUACUCUAUCACUAUUUUUGCGUUGUGUGGUAAUUGGUCAUACAUUUCAUAUGUUAGGGAAUUAUGACCUGGGGUGCUUUAUUUUUUCUUUCUCAAUACUUCAUUCAUUUCUUUAUAACUUAUAUCAACAUUUUCCUCUUUAUCGUCAUUUUCUUGUUUUUGAAAGAGAUGUUGAUUGAGUUUUGAAUGAUUUUGUUUCUUAAUUCUAAAAGAUGCAUCUAGGUUUUCAUCACUACUAACAAAUCGAUAAUGUUUUUCCAGCGUCUCAGCUAUGUCUGUGUUUGAAGUAAGUUCUUUUCCAUUAAGUGAUUUCUGAGGACAAGUGCAUUUGUGUUUUAUAUUUGUUCCAUCAAUAGUAUGUAUAGUACUCCACACUUGUGAAAUUUUUGAAUCAAUAUUAAUAGAUUUAAGGUAGUUUUUCCACACUUGUUCCCUGAAGUUUCUUAUGGUACUGGUAGCUAGAUUUCUAGCCUCUCUGUAUCUUUUAAAAAUGGGGACAUAGCUGAAAAUGGAUCGGUUUUUUUUACGCGAUACGUAGAUCAAAACUAUUUUGUGGACUUAUCUAAAAUGAAUAUUCGACAAAUUUUGACUUCCAAAUGUCGUGUACUAAUUUGAAACGCAAAACUUCAGGGUGGAGGAAAAUAUAUUUUUAAAACGUUGUAUAGUUGUUGUUGUUGUUUUUUUACCACCCUGCGCAUAUGUAUUGCUUUCAUUAAAUAAAAGGUGUAGCAAUUUGU
rnacentral:lncRNA from 1 species